rnacentral:ncRNA from 1 species
GUUACAACCUGACGAAGGACCAGUAAACAGCGGGGGUAACUAUGACCCUCUUAAGGUAGCGUAAUACCUUGUCGCUUAAUUGGCGACUUGCAUGAAUGGCACAACGAGAGUCCUACUGUCUCCGCGGUACGUCCGGCGAAAUUGACAUUACUGGCGCACAGUCCAGUAACCUCAACCUGCAAGCGAAGACCCCGUAGAGCUUUACUGCAACCUGGCGUUGUACAGUCGCACAUUACGUGCUGAGUAGACGGGAGACACUGAUCCUCGGGACGCCAGUUCCGAGAGUAGUCAACCAUAGAGACACCGUCCUUAGUGUGUAACUGUACUAACUCUUCAUGAGAACACCGCUUGGUGGGCAGUUUGGGUGGGGCGCCACGCGCUCGAAAAAAUAACAAGCGUGCCCAAAGGUCAGCUUAGGUGGUUCAGUCUCCACCGUGAAAUGUAAGGGUAAAAGCUGGCUUGACGUGGAUCGGCAAAAUAACGAUCGACGAUGCGAAAGCAGGGCCUAUCGAACCAAUGUACCUCAUUUCUGGGGGUCAUUGAUAACAGAAAAGUUACCUCGGGGAUAAUUGAGUUGUCACCAGCAAGAGCACAUAUCGACCUGGUGGCUUGCUACUUCGAUGUCGUCUCUUCCCAACCUCCCGGUGCAGCAGCUGGGAAGGGUGGGGUUGUUCGCCCAUUAAAGGGGAUCGUGAGAUGGGUUUAGACCGUCGUGAGACAGGUUUGUUGCUUUGUGGUUGAGGCGUAUUGAUGCGUGAUCGGAAGGGCCCUUUAGUACGAGAGGAACGAGGGCUCGGGGCCACUAGUUUACCAGUUGUCCGGCAGGGCAAUGCUGGGUAGCCACGCCCUAUNUGGAUAAGAGCUGAAAGCAUCUAAGCUCGAAGUCAUCCGAAAGACGACGCAUCUCAGGGGACUCGUAGAAGACGAGUUUGAUAGACAGCGGGUGUAAGCACCGAGGUUCGCCGAGGUGUUCAGCCCAGCUGCACUAACCCCCCGAGCAUCUAAAUUU